AUGGUCUGGAAUGGACUGGUUGCGGUAGUAUGCUUUUUUGAUGUUUUCGUGAUCCUCUUGAAGAAAGAUAGAUACAUGUCUCUUAUGGGGCUUCUAUUGAUGACAAUAAUACUUGCAAUUGGCCGGUUCCUGUCUGGGCUGAAACUGCACAUAUGCAAACCGCUACACCGUGCCACAUCACUAUGGAGCCCCUUAGUUGCAAUCUUGUUAUUGGCUCCCUCUCUAUCAGACCGCAGUCGUCAAUACAUAUAUGGUGCUGAUGAGGGUCAAAAUCAAAUAGAUCCAUUGACCAGAUGGGUAGUGUUCACAACACUACUUGUGCCAGUGCUAUUGAUGUACAUGCUACGCCGAGAUGUAUUCGUGAACAUUUCUACGAGCAUGAUAAUCCAAGUGUGUGCCUUAGCGGUGUUGUCAUUUGGCAACUUCCAGAUUCCAGCAGCCGUGUUGCGUAUCGUGCUAGCAAUCUUGGGCCUUCUGUAUGUGCCUAAGUAUGGAAAGGACAAUAAGAACCUCAAAGCACCUCUCAGAAUGUUCUAUGGGAUGGUGCUUGGACAAGGAAUCUUCAAUUCUGUGGCUUGCAUGCUCGAGUUCUUUUCGUUCAUCCCUCGGAGAUACCUUGUCCACCGUGGUGGGUUUAGAGGUCAGUGUGGAGUAGAAUCUGUCAAUGUGUACUAUGCAUACGCCUUAGAGAAAUGUAUGCAGGAGGGUGUGCUUGCUCCAAAGAAGAUCAGCCUGACCAACUUUGCCAUGGAUUCUCUAAACUCGGAUUCAUCCAAGAAUCAGCUCCACGGUAUUCGUCUGAUGCACAGCUUUCUGCAAUGGCAGCCAACCAGGGCACAACUCCUGUCAAAACUCACCACUUCCACCAAUACUGUGGCCAGAAUAAUCAGGAUGUUGGAUUGGACAAGUCCAAAGGAUACAACUAUCAGAUUAUAUGCCGCAAAGGUCACCGCUGAACUUGCGAAGGACCUCCGUGUUGUCGCCUUCCCCGGCACGAUGCAGAUUGUAUCUGCACUUCUUGACGCUCAUAGCAGCCCAAAGAGAGGAAAUCCACUUCUGGACACAGAUGAUGAACAAGAAGAAAGGCAAGAUCAAUUUCUGAAGACAGAAGAUAGCCAAGAGCAAGAACAUCAUACAGUAAGGGACGUAGCUGUUAACCAAUCGCAAAGACAAGACCCACUUCAAGACACCAAUUACCUGCUCGAGGAAACACAAGUACGCUCGACCCAACAACCUUUGGCCGACAAAAAGAAAUCUUACAUAAUCAGAUGCUGGCAGCGGAUUAAAGAAUUACGUUCACUUCCCAAGGAACAGCCAUCAACAGACCAUGAUCUUCUCCCUGCACUGGCCAUGUCACUUAUUGAAAGUCUUGCUGGUGAUCAGGAAAACUGCGUGGAAAUAAGCAAAGCAGCUAACCUCAUCCCGAAAAUCAUAGGAUUCACGAGAUUCAUACGUGCCAUGAGCACUAAGGAUACCGAGGCAGAACAAAAGGUCAUGUUGAAGUCAUCACUGAAGGUACUGCAAAGGCUCACAGGCAUUGGCGGGGAAAUCGGCAUAACACUGCGGUACAAGAUAUCAAAACAUCCCUUCCUAUUGAGAAACCUUGCAGAAAUCUUGAAAGACGACAGAAGCAGCCAGGAAUCGAGAAAGUUGGUGGCCGGAAUCCUCAGGAACAUUGCCAUUGAUGGGAACACAAGGCAGGACAUUGGUCGCAUUCAACUGAUCAUCACCAGGCUGAAGCAGACAUUUCUCAAUGAAGAAAAUCCCAUGAUUACCAAUGCUGAUCACUUGUCACGGAAGGUCGGGCAAGCACUGGCAAUGUUGACAACAGAAAGUGUCCAAAAUUGCUUGAUUGUGUUGCAGGAACCAGAGUUCAUUAAGAAAUUGAAACAUAUGAUCUUGAUCCAUGAUAGCAAGUACAUAUAUGUGGCAGCAAGUCUGUUACGUAAUCUGUGCCUGCACUUUCGACAUGAGCUCAGAGAGUCGGACCUGAAGGAGCUAUCUCAUAUCUUGCGAGAGGUGUUGGAGAAAAUAAUUGACGUGGAAGGGGCAGAACUAGAGAUCAUCAUUGGCCUUAGUUCACUAAUUUGUAAAACCAUUCCUGAAGACUUUACCCAAGAACUAGAAGGCGGCCAGAUUAAGCGAAGAUUUGUGAAAAGGCUCGUCAAUGUGUUGAAUGCAAAUACGGAACCUGGCGCUAAUUGUCCUGGGAUCAGAAGGGUUAUACUUGAGCAAGUCAUUAACAUGAUGGAGUCCAAUUAUCGCUAUGCGGACUGUUUCAACGAAUUCAGGAUGACAGAAGCCCUCUCAGUCGUCGAACAAACACUGUCACACGCUGAGAACUACAAGUUCUUCUUGGGUGAUGCAGGUUUCAUGGAGUACAACACACCUAUCUCCGCUCUUGUGGUAAGAGCAAAAGAGCUUAUGUGUUGUAACUGA
rnacentral:rRNA from 1 species